rnacentral:tRNA from 1 species
GCUAGCGUAGCAAAGCCUGGUGAAUGCAAAAGGCUUAAGCCCUUUAACUAGAGGUUCAAAUCCUCUCUCUAGCUCCACCCACUA